rnacentral:rRNA from 1 species
GAUGAACGCUGGCGGCGUGCCUAAUACAUGCAAGUCGAGCGAACGGACGAGAAGCUCGCUUCUUUGAUGUUAGCGGCUGACGGGCGAGUAACACGUGGAUAACCUACCUAUUAGUCUGGGAGAAUUUCGGGAAACCGGAGCUAAUACCGGCUAAUAUGUCGUACCGCAUGGUUCAAAAGUUAAUCACGGCUUUCCUGUCACUUUUAGAUGGAUCCGCAUUGGAUUAGCUAGUUGGUAAGGUAACGGCAUACCAAGGCUACGAUGCAUAGCCGAACUGAUAGGGUGAUCGGCCACACUGGAACUGAGACACGGUCCAGACUCCUACGGGAGGCAGCAGUAGGGAAUCUUCCGCAAUGGGCGAAAGCCUGACGGAGCAACGCCGCGUGAGUGAUGAAGGUCUUCGGAUCGUAAAGCUCUGUUGUUAGGGAAGAAAAGAUGUGUAAGUAACUGUGGACGUCUUGACGGUACCUAAACAGUAAGCCACGGCUAACUACGUG